UUGGUGUAAGACUUGGGAUAUUUUU
rnacentral:piRNA from 1 species